GGCGGGUUCGUUUACUGGAAGUCUAACGACACAGGACACUAAUCUUUUCAGAUUAGAGACGUAGGUUCGAAUCCUGCACCCGCUA
rnacentral:tRNA from 1 species